rnacentral:misc_RNA from 1 species
GGUGAAGAACGUAGCGAAAUGCGAUAAGUAAUGCGAAUUGCAGAAUUCAGUGAGUCAUCGAAUCUUUGAACGCACAUUGCGCCAUGUGGUAUUCCGCAGGGCAUGCCUGUUCGAGCGUCAUUUCAACCCUCAAGCUCUGCUUGGUGUUGGGCCACGCCCCCGCGGCCGGCCCCAAAGCUAGUGGCGGUGCCGUCUGGCUCUAAGCGUAGUACAUCUCUCGCUCUAGGGCCCGGCGGUUGCUUGCCAGAACCCACACUCUUAUGGUUGACCUCGGAUCAGGUAGGGAUACCCGCUGAACUUAAGCAUAUCAAUAAGCGGAGGA